GAAUUCAUAAGGUCAGAUUCAACAGAUAACUGGGCAGGUGUUUGGACUCCAAAUCUUUCAAUCCAUAUAUCAAAAGAAAGAUCUACGAGUCUAGUUUCUAAUGAAAUUGGUUUUGAACAAAUCAGAGUUUCCAACAUUGACUUAUAGGCAGCUCGGUAUCAAAAGGUCAGAAAUUACGAUCCUUGUUUUGCAUAAUCUAUAGGCUCAUUUGAAACAGAAGUUUGGGCAGGCAAACUUACUCCGAAUUCUUAAAAUAGGCUAUCAAAAGAAAGGUUAUGAGUCUAUAUUAUGAUCAAAUAAGUUUUGUCCAAAUCAGAGGUCAAUACAUGAAGUUAUAAUCAUAACAAGGUAGAAAGGUCAGAAUCUCAGAAGUUGCACAGAUUCGAAUCGUUACGUCUAAACAGGAGAUAUAUCAAAUGCAAGGCUAGAAUAAUUCAAAGUUCCUCAUAUUCAAAGCAAAUGUAGAG
rnacentral:lncRNA from 1 species